AACGAACGCUGGCGGCAUGCCUAACACAUGCAAGUCGAACGAGACCUUCGGGUCUAGUGGCGCACGGGUGCGUAACGCGUGGGAACCUGCCCUUAGGUUCGGAAUAACUCCCCGAAAGGGGUGCUAAUACCGGAUAAUGUCUUCGGACCAAAGAUUUAUCGCCUUUGGAUGGGCCCGCGUUGGAUUAGCUAGUUGGUAGGGUAAAAGCCUACCAAGGCGACGAUCCAUAGCUGGUCUGAGAGGAUGAUCAGCCACACUGGGACUGAGACACGGCCCAGACCCCUACGGAGGGAAGCAGUGGGGAAUAUUGGACAAUGGGCGAAAGCCUGAUCCAGCAAUGCCGGGUGGGGGAUGAAGGCUUUAGGGUUGUAAAGCUCUUUUACCCGGGAUGAUAAUGACAGUACCGGGAGAAUAAGCCCCGGCUAACCCCGU
rnacentral:rRNA from 1 species